rnacentral:misc_RNA from 1 species
AACUAACGCUAUAUAAGUAUCAGUUUCUGUACUUUAUUGGUAUAUGAAACUUCCGGAACCUCAAUUCCGRCAAAUCUUUCGGGGGGCGGAGCCC